GGAUCUUGCUAAGUUGCUUGAGGGCCUCACUGUGUUGCUGAGGCUGGCUUUGAACUUGUGAUCCUCCUGCCUCAGCCUUCCGAGUCGCUGUGCUGGGAUUACAGGUAUGCACUACUGCACCCGGUACAUUGUUGAGUUUUAGCAUUUCCUUUUACUUUCUGAACUACAUCUUUUUUUUUUUCUCCAGGAUUUCUUGUUUGUUGCUUGUUCCUCUCAACCUCCUGCUUGUGGUCUCAUAUGUUAGAAAUGAAGCAACAAAAAUGACUGACAUUGGGAGCUUUGUACGCACAGGUGACUGUGGUUGUAGAGGAGUAGAGAAGAUGGUGUCAAUGAAACUCUGCUGAGCACCCGGCUUUGAGAAUGGCAUUGCUCUACUGAAUCACUGGCCUAGAAACCUGGCCAGAGGUAUUUAGGGAGAACACAGCCUAUCCAAGGACGAGACCCAGAGAACCUCUUGGAUAUGCCAGGUCCCCGCUUCAUUGCACCAUGACCCUCCCACUGCACAGCACCCCUUUGUGGUCCCACUACAGUUACUCCUAGGUACCAAGAGGCCUUCCUAUUUCCAGAGAUGAUGAGAAUAUCAGGGCUUAAUUAAGGAAGGUUCUUCUCUAUUCAGAGUUGUCCAUGGAACUGGACAGAAGAGGCCUCUGGAGGUAGUAAGGCAGUGAGGCUCUCAACACCAGAGGGUCAUCAGGAAGAUGCUGGCCCUUUCUGAAACAGUAAAGCAACCAAUCCAAAAACGGACAAAAGCUGGCCAUGGUGGCUUGUGACUUCAUGCUUUAUGAAAGGCCAUUCUUCUUCCUUAUAAAUCUCUUUUCCUAUUUAUGCCAGUGACUGCUGCAUACAUCUCCUGCACAGCCUUAAAGAAUCCCCCCAAGAUGAAAUCAUUCCCACCGUCAGAGUUUGCCAUUUCUCAAAUAUGAGAGGCAGAAUGAUGGUCCCCCAAAUGUCCUCUUCCUAAUCCUGGAAUUUUGUGGGUAUUACUUUAAAUGGCAAAUAAAUAAGCUUCUUACACAUGAUGAGGUGCAGAAACAGAGAUGGAAGAUUCUUCCCGGAGCCCAAGGCCAUCACUAGAAUCCUCCUCAAUGAUAGAAGGAGGCUGGGGCUGGAGUAGAGAAUUGAAGAUGUGACACUGCUGGCUUUGAAGGACAAAGAGGCCACCAAUCCAGGAACGCCGGCAGCCUCUAGAAGCUGGAAAGAGGAAGGAAAACAUUCUUCCCUAGGCCUCUGGCAGGAACGCAGGCCUGCUGACACGCCGAGUUUAGCCCCAUGAGGUCCAUUUGGGGUUUGUGAUAGUUCAUCGCAGAGGUGACCCACUUUUUCCAUUUUCUCAAGCAUGGCCACUGGCACAUCUUACUACAACUCUAUACAGACCCAUUUUCUUCCCUGGGAUCCUGGUGAUAAAAACAGCUAACUAAGGCUGGGGUUGUGGCUCAGUGGUAGAGCGCUCACCUAGCAUGUACAAGGCCCUGGGUUCGAUCCUCAGCACCACAUAAAAAUCAAUCAAUCAAUAAACAAAUAAGUG
rnacentral:lncRNA from 1 species